AGAGUUUGAUCCUGGCUCAGGAUGAACGCUAGCUACAGGCUUAACACAUGCAAGUCGAGGGGAAACGAUAUUGGAAGCUUGCUUCCGAUAGGCGUCGACCGGCGCACGGGUGAGUAACGCGUAUCCAACCUGCCCACCACUUGGGGAUAACCUUGCGAAAGUAAGACUAAUACCCAAUGAUAUCUCUAGAAGACAUCUGAAAGAGAUUAAAGAUUUAUCGGUGAUGGAUGGGGAUGCGUCUGAUUAGCUUGUUGGCGGGGUAACGGCCACCAAGGCGACGAUCGAGUAGGGGUUCUGAGAGGAACGGUCCCCCANAUUGGAACUGAGACACGGUCCAAACUCCUACGGGAGGCA
rnacentral:rRNA from 1 species